AGUGGAAUAGCUGGGUCCAAUGGUGUUUCGAUUCUAAGUUUUCAAAGGAAUUUCCAUACUGUUUUCCAGAGUAGUUGCACCAAUUUGCAGUCCUACCAGCAAU
rnacentral:pre_miRNA from 1 species